rnacentral:tRNA from 1 species
GGGGAGUUAGCUCAGCAGCACAAGCACCUGCUUGGCAAGCACAAGCUCAUGAGUUCAAUCCCCCAUACCCCCCA